AUUACGUCUGCUCUAGCAGUGAAUGUAUCACUAAAGCUGGGAGAAUACAGCAGACUGCCAGAUGACCAGACCCACGUGGAUAGUACCCACCGUAUGACACUACCAAAGUGGUGGAUAAAGCUCGCUUCGAUACACGACGAACAGUUUGUGAAGACUGCGGCGAACUAUACUCUGGAAGGUCUGCCGUCCGCAGACGUGGUUGUCCAUCACGGCAGACCAGGCGGGCACCAGUGCACUGACUGUGGAUGAGUGUUGUUAACUAGGAGUCAUCUCCAAGAGCACCGCGUUUCCAGAUUCAUUGGAAUGAAUGAUCUAGUUUUUAUAUAUUGUUUAAUAAAUCGACAUUAUAAUGCACUGUA